UUUUGAAGCGUGGAGCAAAUGGCUACUAUUGUCUCAGUGUUAGGUGGAGGCUUUGUCCAGUACUAUAAUUUGUAGACCACAGUGACAUAGCCAGGACCAUGGAGAGAGACCAUUGCUGAGGAGGUGGGAAUGGCAAGUUCCUGGCCAAUCAGAUGAUCCUACAUGACAAAGCUGCUCGUAAAGAUGCAAGUCUGAUGACAAACUCAGGAUGAUGAGGCCAUGUUCAAGCUGAACCCCAAUGCAAAGACGUCAAGUUCAACCUGAAUGCCUAAGAGUUCAAACCUCCGAGAGCAAGCUUCUCUCCAGUGGUCACUGCCUCCUCCACACCUCUCUGAGACAAGGCGACUGUCGAGUCCUCAGCCUCUACCCUACAAGAGCAAAAUAAUUCCGUUUUUGCUUGUUUCACCAAACUGGAGGUAAAAGUUUACGUAAGGGCUUUGAGAAGGAGCGGAAAAUGAGUACAAAGAGAAGUACCUCUCGCUAUUAGAGCAUACUGGGUAAAGGUCCUGUAAUUUACUUACUGUUAUUAUAACGUGUUACGUUAGGUAAGAUCUUAGUAUUAUAUUGGAGCAUAUUAGGUAAAGGGUCAUCGUGUAGUGUUUUGUAAAACAGUCAUCAUAAUCCUUAGUUUUGUAUAAUACCGUAAUUAUAGCGGCUCUUGGGCUAUCAGAAAUGCUCAUGGGUUCUAAUAUUCACGUUUCAAUGUUGGGAAACCACACCCAUCAAUAGCUUUAUCCCAGUUUUAAUGUUCACGUUAGCUGCUCUGCCCUCGAAAACCCGAAAUUUUGCACCUUACCUGCUACAGUACAUGCUAACACUGUAUAUCACUAUACAACCACUUGAAUGCAGAUAAAGCACAAUCACUCUCUUUUUUUGCCUCCCAAGAAGUUAAGUAGCUAACUGUUCUCUGUUGCACAGGAUGAGUGCUGACUCGGCUUUGUUUAAGUCCAAGAGCAAGAAAUCAAAGUGGCUCGACUAGUGAGUUGUGUCACGUCAGUUAGUGUGUAGAGUUGUAGUGAUCGAUACACCUGUACAUACGUUUUCUUGCAAUUGCCUACUUAAUCUUGUCACUCUAUAGGGGUUCUAUAAAUUAUAGAGUACAGUAGUAGUUUCACUGUUUCACUGGAAGUAUAAUUAUGUAGUGCAAUAAAGUACGUGUCUAUGAUCCUACUAAAACUCUUUUCUCAAAAGUUUCAGCCUAUAGUCUAGUUUUAUUUUGUUACUCCCGUUACUUGCUUAGCCAGAUCAUACAUACUAUUGUACACUGCUUACUAUUGUAUAACACUUUGAUUAUUUGUGUGGGUAGGCACUUCAGUAUGUAAGUACGUACAUAUUGUAUACCAGUACAUGUGUUGUGUGGUGUCCCUUUACCAUAGUUGAGCCAUUUUGCAUUUAGCCAGUAUAAAUUAUAGCUACUGUUAUCAUGUGAUUUCCUCACCCCUUACUUCCUAAGCCCUCAAACUUUCACUCAUGCAGUGUGACUAUGACCAUGUGACUCUUUAACCCCUCAGUUCCCGAGCCCCACUCCUCACUGUCUGACUCGGAAGAGGAAAUAGACUUUGUAUUCUGGGAGAAGGCGUCCACCCUACCCUCGGACAAGACCCCAACCAAGGACCUGAACUUGUUAUGAGACUGUUAAAUAUUAUUUUGUUUGUUUUUGUACUAUUUUCUGGCAAUGUAAUUAUGUAUGUACCACUUCAUGUCAUCAUAAUAACUAUAAUUAUA